CAAUUUGCUUUUUCAUCUUGGAAGUGUCUACAAUUUGAUUGUUCAUACAUUUCCAGAGAAUGACACAUCACAAGCAUCACAAGCACGAGGAUCCUCCGCCUCCACCAUGUCCUCCACCUCCAUUGGACCCUUGUGCACCACCAUGUCCAGACUCCCCACCUCCUCCCAUAGUUAUUGUUGAACCUCCACCGCCACUGCCACUCGAUCCUUGUGUUCCACCUCCUCCAGUGAUUGUUUAUCCUCCACCACCACCACCACUCGAUCAUUGUGCUCCACCUCCACCAAUAAUUGUUCAUCCACCACCGCCUCCUCCUCCACAUCACCAUCAUCAUCAUGAUUAUUAUUAUCACCACCAUCAUCACCAUCACCAUUGACAUGAGCGAACACACUUAUGUGAAUAAAAUGGCAUGUAUCAUUUUGUUCGCACCACUUAUAUGCUACUAUGUUGUGCUGCUUUUACUAUGGUUGGCAAUGUGAGAAAAUCCAUGCAUAUAUGCACUGUUGUGGAGUUAAUUAAGUAUAUCAUCUAAAUGUACUGGUUGUAUUAAAUAAUCUUUCCUUGUGUUGGUUACUAUAUAAUAGAUAUGUAUUCAUAUUUUAAAGUGAAUUAAGUCUUGUUGAUUGUUGCUUCAUAAUUUCCAAUAAUAAAGGAAGAUGUCCUUCUUCAUCCUUAUACUAAUGCAAUGAAUUAUGUUCCAGCUCAAAAAAGAAAAGAAAAUAAACGAUAUUAAUAUCAAGAUAGUUCAAUAUUAAUCUUUCCUUUUUCGAAUA
rnacentral:lncRNA from 1 species